AAAUUGAAGAGUUUGAUCAUGGCUCAGAUUGAACGCUGGCGGCAGGCCUAACACAUGCAAGUCGAGCGGCAGCGGGAAAGUAGCUUGCUACUUUUGCCGGCGAGCGGCGGACGGGUGAGUAAUGCCUGGGGAUCUGCCCAGUCGAGGGGGAUAACAGUUGGAAACGACUGCUAAUACCGCAUACGCCCUACGGGGGAAAGGAGGGGACCUUCGGGCCUUUCG
rnacentral:rRNA from 1 species